UACUUAGGGAUCUGCCCUAUGGUGGGGGAUAACUAUUGGAAACGAUAGCUAAUACCGCAUAAUGUCUACGGACCAAAGGGGGCUUCGGCUCUCGCCUAAGGAUGAACCUAAGCGAGAUUAGCUUGUUGGUGAGGUAAUGGCUCACCAAGGCGACGAUCUCUAGCUGUUCUGAGAGGAAGAUCAGCCACACUGGGACUGAGACACGGCCCAGACUCCUACGGGAGGCAGCAGUGGGGAAUAUUGCACAAUGGGGGAAACCCUGAUGCAGCCAUGCCGCGUGUGUGAAGAAGGCCCUAGGGU
rnacentral:rRNA from 1 species